GAUGAACGCUAGCGGCAGGCCUAACACAUGCAAGUCGAGGGGCAGCACAGAAACAGCAAUGUUUUGGUGGCGACCGGCGGACGGGUGCGUAACGCGUAUGCAACCUACCUUUAACAGGGGGAUAACGGAGAGAAAUUUCCACUAAUACCCCAUAACAUCGAUCAAGGCAUCUUGAUUGGUUGAAAACUCCGGUGGUUAAAGAUGGGCAUGCGUUGUAUUAGGUAGUUGGUGAGGUAAUGGCUCACCAAGCCUACGAUACAUAGGGGGACUGAGAGGUUAGCCCCCCACACUGGUACUGAGACACGGACCAGACUCCUACGGGAGGCAGCAGUGAGGAAUAUUGGUCAAUGGGGGCAACCCUGAACCAGCCAUGCCGCGUGCAGGAAGACGGCUCUAUGAGUUGUAAACUGCUUUUACAAGGGGAUAAAUCGGUGUACGUGUACACCGUUGAAGGUACCUUGGGAAUAAGGAUCGGCUAACUCCGUGCCAGCCGCCGCUGUAA
rnacentral:rRNA from 1 species